CCACAAUAGAGAGAAAACAUUGUGCGGUACCCCAUUGGGAGAGUUACACAAGGUCAGGUAUGCAGAUUUCACAGAAAACAAAAACACCAUUUGAAUCCCCACUCCACAUGAUAACAUCCUCAGAUUCCUUUCUCAGAAUCUUCCCUGUAAUAAGGUUCAUCAACUCUUCCUCCAUAUAGCUUUCCUACUCGAAUCUAGGCCUUCUCCACCUUAACCUCCAUGACCACUCUAUAGCCUUUCAGGAGCCUACCUCGCCCACCAUCUUUCCUUGAUCCAAAGAAAUGAUAUACAACCUGGGGAACAAAUGUUUAACCUUAUUAUUGUCCACCCAGGCAUCGUCCCAGAAACUAAUUUUAUCCCUGGAUCCAACUUUCCAUGUAACAGAAUUGUGGAACCAACCCUCACCUUCUCCCUCUCCACAUGCCUUGGAAAGAUCACUUCACCACCAGGAGUGACGCUUACCAGAGUCUUCAUUUCUAACAUCACCAUUAUAAUACUUAGAUACUAAGAUCUCUUUCCAUUUCCCUUUUUUCUCACUCAUUAAUCUCCACUUCCACUUUACUAGCAAGGCUCGAUUAAAUUAUAAUAUCUUUGACCCCCAAUCCUCCUUCCUCCUUUACUUUGCAUACAUUUUCCCACCGGACCCAAGAAAUAUGUUUGUGAUCUUUGCCUUAUGCCCAAAGGAAACUUCUCUGGAUGCUCGAGAUUUUGUUACAAACUGAUGUUGGGACUUAAAAGAAAGAGAGAUAAAACAAAGGUAUUUGAUACGCAACCUAUAUAAAUGAUCUCUACUGGAUAUGCAUAUUUGAUAGAAGAACCAUUCUAUUUUGACAUCAAUAAUUUUUUACACAUAUUUUAUAUCCUUCAUCUUUUCUUUUCUUUUACAAAUACAAAAGUUCAUUUUUUAAUAACCAUAUUAUUAUUCAGAGUGGAUCAUCAACUUGUUGAUGAAGUUUCAAAACAUUAUUUCCAAAUACAAUUCAACACUUGUCUUUCUUCUCAAACCUCUCUCCAAAACUAUAAAUUUAUUAUAUAUACAAUGAGUAGCAUUAUCCUAUAAUAUAUAUCAUGCAUUAUAUUUGCAAACUAAGUUGCAUCUCACAAGUUCUUAUUUAAUUCCUUAACCUUUACCCUUCAAACCAAGCUAUACGUAAACAUAUGAUCAUUCAUCACAUAUACCACAUACACAGAACGUAGUCUCAGAGGAGGGAAUCAACAAUGAGUCUGAAUUCAUCCAAGCUCACAGCUCCAUCUCCGUCUGCAUCAAGAGAAGCAACAAGGUGCAGACA
rnacentral:lncRNA from 1 species